GACGAACGCUGGCGGCGUGCUUGACACAUGCAAGUCGAACGGAAAGGCCUGCUUUCCCUUGUGGAUUGCGGGUACUCGAGUGGCGAACGGGUGAGUAACACGUGAGUGAUCUGCCCCCAACUUGGGUAUAAGCCUGGGAAACUGGGUCUAAUUCCCGAUAGGACUGCAGGGUGGUGCCUGUGGUGGAAAACGAUUUUCUAGUGGUUGGGGAUGAGCUCGCGGCCUAUCAGCUUGUUGGUGGGGUAAUGGCCUACCAAGGCGGCGACGGGUAGCCGGCCUGAGAGGGUGGACGGCCACAUUGGGACUGAGAUACGGCCCAGACUCCUACGGGAGGCAGCAGUGGGGAAUAUUGCACAAUGGGCGGAAGCCUGAUGCAGCGACGCCGCGUGGGGGAUGACGGCCUCCGGGUUGUAAACUCCUUUCGACCGCGAGGAAGCCACCUGGUUGGAAGGGUGGUGACGGUAGUGGUAGAAGAAGCACCGGCUAACUACGUG
rnacentral:rRNA from 1 species